rnacentral:rRNA from 1 species
AUUGAACGCUGGCGGCAGGCUUAACACAUGCACGUCGAGCGAGCGGCGGACGUGUGAGUAAUGUCUGGGAAACUGCCUGAUGGAGGGGGAUAACUACUGGAAACGGUAGCUAAUACCGCAUACCCUCAGAUGUGCCCAGAUGGGAUUAGCUAGUAGGUGGGGUAAUGGCUAACCUAGGCGACGAUCCCUCGCUGGUCUGAGAGGAUGACGAGCAAAACUGGAACUGAGAAAAGGUCCAGACGCCUACGGGAGGGAGAAGUGGGGAAUAUUGCACAAGGGGCGGAAGCCUGAUGCAGCCAGGCCGCGGGUGGGAAGAAGGCCGUCGGGUGGUAAAGCACUUUCAGCGAGGAGGCGUUACGCGCAGAAGAAGCACCGGCGAACUCCGUGCCAGCAGCCGCGGUAAUAC